rnacentral:misc_RNA from 1 species
UUUUUGCGUUAGGGAUUGCAGCGGAAAGCCUACAGCGACUAUAAGGAGCGAAGACUUGAAGCGUAAAGCCCGGCGCGAA